rnacentral:lncRNA from 1 species
UAAAGUUCUGUCACAAGAAUUCCGCUCCUAUCUACUCCACCAUAAAGAAGGCUCUAGGACGGUGCCAAUCAGACAGUUGUAACCAACAACGAGGUGAUGAAACCCUUUCUAAGGAUAAGACAUAAAUGAAGAUUAGUUGGCCAACUGUAACAAUUGCAAAAGAGAAAAAAAAAAAAAAAAAAAGACAUUUUAAUCUUCAAAAUUUUAAAUUCACAUUUAUUGCACAAUUUUCUAUUACUACCAAAAAUAGAAUAAUUGAUUUAAAACAACUAAAAUAAAUUAAAAUAAAAGGGAAAAGAACCUGGCACCAUGGCGUUUGAAGCAUAGCUAGGAUGGUCCGGAGAAAAGGCUGAGAACAGAAUGAAGAGAACAGAGGAUAUGAUUUCCAUUCAGAUGGGAAACAGAGUGGGAGUAAACAGAUGGGCAGAGGUGACAGUAGGCUGAUUGGGAGAAACAUCUUCAAUCAGGGUUUACAGCUGCGCCAUUUCCAUAUGGGGCUUGUGGCAGUGACCAGUGAUCGGUGAUC